rnacentral:rRNA from 1 species
GACGAACGCUGGCGGCGUGCUUAACACAUGCAAGUCGAACGGAAAGGCCCUGCUUUUGUGGGGUUCUCGAGUGGCGAACGGGUGAGUAACACGUGAGUAACCUGCCCUUGACUUUGGGAUAACUUCAGGAGACUGGGGCUAAUACCGGAUGGGAGCUCCUGCUGCAUGGUGGGGGUUGGAAAGUUUCGGCGGUUGGGGAUGGACUCGCGGCUUAUCAGCUUGUUGGUGGGGUAGUGGCUGCCCAAGGCUUUGACGGGUAGCCGGCAUGAGAGGGUGACCGGGGACCUGGGGCCUGCGGGAGGCAGCAGAAGGCUACCGGCGGCAGUGGUGGGAAGCAUUGCGGAGCGAGGGGGAGUGUGAUGCAGAAACGUCGCGAGCGGAAAACCGGGUUUCGGGUUGUAAACCGAUGUGGACUGAACCGAGGAGUGCGUGACGGUAAUGGGUCAAGAAGCAACGGCUAACUACGUG